rnacentral:rRNA from 1 species
AUGGCGACCACGAAUUGGACGCUCCCCGACCACCCCACGCUCCCCAAGGGGAAGACGGUGGCCGUCGUCGUGCUCGACGGAUGGGGCGAGGCCAGCCCCGACCAGUACAACUGCAUCCAUGUCGCCCAGACGCCCGUCAUGGAUUCGCUCAAGAAUGGUGCUCCUGAGAAGUGGAGACUAGUGAAGGCUCAUGGAACUGCCGUUGGUCUCCCAAGUGACGACGACAUGGGCAACAGUGAAGUUGGCCACAAUGCUCUUGGAGCUGGCCGAAUCUUUGCUCAAGGUGCGAAGCUUGUUGAUGCUGCUCUUGCUUCCGGGAAGAUUUGGGAAGACGAGGGGUUCAAUUACAUCAAGGAAUCUUUUGAUAAGGGUACUCUGCACCUUAUUGGUUUGUUGAGUGAUGGAGGCGUUCACUCCCGGCUAGACCAAGUGCAGUUGAUUGUGAAAGGUGCCAGUGAGAGGGGAGCAAAAAGAAUUCGCCUUCACAUUCUUACUGAUGGGCGUGAUGUUUUGGAUGGCAGUAGUGUUGGUUUCGUAGAGACAAUUGAGAACGAUCUUGCUCAGCUUCGUGAGCAGGGUGUUGAUGCACGGAUUGCAUCUGGUGGUGGAAGGAUGUAUGUUACCAUGGACCGCUACGAGAAUGACUGGAGUGUGGUCAAGCGUGGGUGGGAUGCCCAGGUGCUUGGAGAAGCACCACACAAAUUCCAAAAUGCACUUGAAGCUGUGAAGACUCUAAGAGCAGAGCCCAAGGCCAAUGAUCAGUAUUUGCCCCCAUUUGUGAUAGUUGAUGAGAGUGGCAAAUCGGUUGGUCCUAUAGUAGACGGUGAUGCAGUCGUGACUUUCAAUUUCAGAGCUGAUCGCAUGGUUAUGCUUGCGAAAGCACUCGAGUUUCCUGAUUUUGAUAAAUUUGACCGUGUUCGUGUACCAAAAAUUAAGUACGCUGGGAUGCUUCAAUAUGAUGGUGAGUUGAAGCUUCCAAGCAAGUACCUUGUUUCCCCACCUUUGAUUGAGAGGACAUCUGGUGAAUACUUGGUGAAGAAUGGUGUCCGCACCUUCGCUUGCAGUGAGACAGUGAAGUUUGGCCAUGUCACAUUUUUCUGGAAUGGAAACCGUUCGGGAUACUUUGACGAGACCAGGGAAGAGUAUGUAGAAAUUCCCAGUGACAGUGGUAUCACAUUCAAUGAGCAGCCCAAAAUGAAGGCACUUGAAAUUGCUGAGAGAACUCGGGAUGCUAUCCUCAGUGGGAAGUUUGACCAGGUGCGUAUUAACCUGCCAAACGGUGACAUGGUUGGUCACACUGGUGAUAUUGAAGCUACAGUUGUUGCUUGCAAGGCUGCCGAUGAAGCUGUCAAGAUGGUCUUGGAUGCUGUGGAGCAAGUUGGUGGUAUCUAUCUUGUCACAGCUGAUCAUGGAAACGCAGAGGAUAUGGUUAAGAGGAACAAAGCUGGCCAGCCGAUGCUCGACAAGAGCGGUAGCAUCCAGAUUCUUACCUCGCAUACGCUUCAGCCAGUCCCUGUUGCUAUCGGAGGCCCUGGUCUCCACCCAGGAGUGAGAUUCCGCUCCGACAUCCAGACACCUGGGCUCGCCAACGUUGCCGCCACCGUGAUGAACCUCCACGGCUUCCAGGCUCCUGCUGAUUAUGAGACGACCCUCAUCGAAGUCGUCGACAAGUAA